rnacentral:lncRNA from 1 species
UUUCUGUGAUGCCAUCGGCCAAGGGUAUGGUGCCUGAACAUCAUCCACAUUUCAUUGGGACGUAUUGGGGUGCGGUGAGCACUUCAUUCUGUGCUGAGAUUGUGGAAUCAGCUGAUGCCUACCUGUUUGCUGGACCGAUCUUUAAUGACUACAGCUCUGUCGGUUAUUCUUUGCUUCUUAAAAAGGAGAAGGCAAUCAUCUUGCAGCCUGAUCGUGUAGUCAUUGCAAAUGGUCCUACAUUUGGAUGCGUUUUGAUGAAGGAUUUCCUUCAAGCUCUUGCAAAGAGGAUUAAGCACAAUACUACUGCCUUUGAGAAUUACUACAGGAUUUAUGUUCCAGAAGGGAUCCCUCCCAAAAGUGCA